CUGGUUGAUCCUGCCAGUAGUCAUAUGCUUGUCUCAAAGACUAAGCCAUGCAUGUCUAAGUACACAUCAUAUUACGAUGAAACCGCGAAUGGCUCAUUAAAUCAGCUAUGGUUCCUUGGAUCGUGUAUCUAACAUGGAUAACUGUGGGAAUUCUAGAGCUAAUACAUGCAUCAAAGCCAUGACCGUAAGGAAAUGGCGCAUUUAUUAGAUCAAAACCAAUCAGGUCUCGGCCUGUAUUGUUUGAUGACUCUGGAUAAACUUCAGCAGAUCGCAUGGCCUUGAGCCGGCGACGUAUCCUUCAAGUGUCUGCCCUAUCAACUUACGUUGGUAGGUUACCUGCCUACCAUGGUGAUCACGGGUAACGGGGAAUCAGGGUUCGAUUCCGGAGAGGGAGCAUGAGAAACGGCUACCAGAACUACGGUUUGCAGCAGGCGCGCAAAUUACCCACUCCCAGUACGGGGAGGUAGUGACGAAAAAUAACAAUACGGGUCUUUUUAUAGGCCCCGUAAUUGGAAUGAGUACACCUUAAAACCAUUAACGAGUACCAAUUGGAGGGCAAGUCUGGUA
rnacentral:rRNA from 1 species